rnacentral:sRNA from 1 species
CAAGCCCAACCCGCCGAAUCAGGCCAGCCGCGGCCUUCCACCCAAUAGGGUGUGUCAGGCCCCCGGGCUACAUACUGUCCAGAAGACGGCAUGAGGUGAGCCAGCGUCAAAAGCGCUGCGCCAGGACGAAGUAUCUCAAGGGGGCCAUUUGGUCCCCU